rnacentral:misc_RNA from 1 species
AUAAAAUCAUGCUAAUGUGUUUGACUUCUUGACCAUAUAACGAAAAACAAGAAGAAAAGAAAGAUGUUCAUCAGCAGCUUCCAACCUAAGGAAGAUAAAAGGUGUAGGUGGCUCAUCUUUGUGUUUUCUACCAAAAUUGUUCAUGCUCUUCCUCUAAAAUUUCUGAAACAUGCCUUUCCUCAGAAAUCUCGGAAACUCAUUUUCGG